UCAGAGUUAAAUAGACAUCCUAGACAUAUCAAUAGAGCAUUACUUAAACAUGGACAUGAUAAGUUUAAGCUAGAAAUAUUAGAAUAUUGUGAUAAAGACAAAUUAAUGGAAAGAGAACAAUUCUAUCUAGAUGAAAUAAAUCCUAGUUAUAAUAUAUUAAAAAAAGCUUAUUCUAUGGAAGGAUUUAAACAUAGUGCAGAAACUAUUGAACAAUUAAAGGAUAGAGAAUUUACUCAAGAACAUAAAGAUAAUUUAGCUAAAGCUCGUUAAGGUAGAGAAUUUUCAGAAGAAACAUUAAAGAAACUAUCUGAAAGUCUAUCUAAACAUCGCAAGGAACAUCCUUUAACACCUGAAGCUUUUGAAAAUAUCAAAAGAAAAACUACAGAACGUGAAGGAGUUCCAGUUGCCUUAAUAAAUAAGGAUACAGGUGAAGAAACUCAGUUUGAAACUCAAACUGAUGCGGCUAAUUUCUUAGGUAUAACUAGACAAGCUAUCAAGAAAGCAUUAGAUAGAGAUAGUAUACUAUCUAAAUUGUAUAAAGUUAAACGUUCAGAUCAAAAUAAUAAUAACAGAUUAUCUUCUAUAGAUAAUAAUUCAUCAUCUGGUGAUGACGGAGGAGACUAAAUUAAUUUAAUUUUAUGUAAAAUAUGUUUUACAUAAGAUAAAUAUCUAUAAAAUCAUUAUAAGAUAUUUAUGUCUAAAUGGAUAAAGUGAAUUAUUCAGGGAUAGUAUUUAAAAAUACUCCGUGUAUGUCAAAAGGGAAACAGCCCAGAACAAGAGUUAAGGUUCCUAAAUUAUUUGUUGAGUGAAAUUAAGAAAGUUUUUAUUAAAGUCGACAAGGAGAUAGGCUUAGAAGCAGCCAUAAUUUUAUGACCUCGUAACAGAGCGCUUGUUAAGUUAUAAAAGCAUCGAAAAUAUAACGGAUCUAAACAAUAUACCGAAACCUUGUCCAUAAAUUAAUGUAGUUUACGUAUUUUUUACAAAUUUAUGGGGUAGCAGAACGUUGAAUUAAACUAAAUAAGAAGUUUAUAAAUUUGUUAUGUUAAUUCAAGUGAGAAUGGUGACAUGAGUAACGAAAAGAAUAGUAGAUGAUAUUAUAAAACUACAUUAAAUAUUUGAUCUUAUUUAAUGUUUAAAGAUCUACUAUCCGCCUAAAGCUUAUGGUUAGAAUUAAGUAACGGCCUCUAAGCUUUUUUAUCUAAAGAUUGAAGCGAUGAGAAAAUCUUUUAUUAUAAGACGACAUUUAUCUAGUGAAAAAUGUACAGGAAAUAUUAUAAUAUAGUAACCGUACCUAGAGACCGACUAUGGUAAGCUAGUAGAGUAUACGAAGGCGUAAUUGAGAUAACAAUCAUAAAGGAACUCGGCAAAUUGACUAUCGUAACUUCGGGAUAAGUAGGGCUCAUUAUUCUUGAUUAAUAUCAGGUAAAGAGGAAGAAACAUAAAAUAAUGUUGUACGACUGUUUAAUUAAAACACAGCACUUUGCUUAAAGAUUAAAAAUCUAUGUAUAAAGUGUGAUAUCUGCCCGGUGCCGGCUGGCUAACAGAGAUAAUUGAAUACAUUACUAUUUGAUGUCAACGGAAGCCCCGGUUAAAGGCGGCCUUAACGUGAGGGUCCUAAGGUAGCGAAAUGCCUUGGCCGUUAAAUGCGGUCUUGCAUGAAUGGUGUAACGAUACAACAGCUGUCUCUAUGAUUGACUCAGUGAAAUUGGAAUAGCUGUGCAGAUACAGCUUACCUCUAGUUAGACGAGAAGACCCUAUGCAGCUUUACUGUCACUAAUUAUAGAUUUUGAUGAAAAAUUUUCAGACUAAAAGGUUGUUGAUUAAAUAUUCAUGAGAAACCUUUAUUUUUAUUCUUCAUUUGAAUGAAUUGAUAUACCUUUAGUAUAUCAUCCUAGUUCAACUUAGUUCUUAGUUUACUAAGAAAUAGGUACCCUUGGAAAGGAACUAUGACUAGGGGACAGUUUAUGUGGGGCACAGACCCUGUAAAGAGUAAACAGGUGUGUCUAAUAAUUAUUUUUAUUUUGUUUGCUAUUUUUAUAUAAAUCAUAUUCACUUUAAUAUAAUUGUAUUGUGUACGGCUAUUUAAGCUCGUUAUAUAAUUAUAUUUAUAUUGAAAAUUUAGGUAAGAUUUUGACUAUACUGAAAUUAGAGAUAAUUUAAGAUUUUAUGUAAUAAAUUAAUUACUAAAAUUUUAUAGUUAUACUAUGUGUGAUCGCACAUAUUAAUUAUGUUUUUAAUAUCUAAAAAGCUCAACGGCUUAAUCUUGCCUUACUGUUUGAUUAUCGACAAAUCUUACAGUUGCGUAAGCAGGGCAUAGGAUCACAAGAUGCAAUAAGGAAAGAUCUUGGAUUAUUGGAAAAGCUACGCUAGGGAUGUUUGUCCUAUAAUCUUUUGUAUUGCAAAAGAAUUAUUAUAAAUUGGGUAAAUUUC
rnacentral:rRNA from 1 species